CCUUGUUUUUUCUAGCGGCUAACUCCUCGUUGCAGGUGUUCUUAGAAGCCAAUUGGGAUUCCAAUUUGGCACCACGAGCUUGGAGUGUAGCAAUGUCCACAGAUGAAGUGGCAUCUUCUUUUUCUCUAGCAAUCUUGCGGGAGACAUAUCGGGCAGCAACAAAACUCUUAAAAGCAAGAUCCCCACAGGCUUCAACCAUUGUUUCCAAAUCAAGAUUGCCAGAUCUAUCUUCCUCCUGGGGAAUGCAAAAACUAUCACCAGCCUCCAAAAGAAACUAACGUUCACGACCACCACUCCGAAGGAACAAGAAAUCAAUCAUUUUACCACCAAUAAGCUUAGCAUCCUUUAGCGCGCUGAUACAGAGAGCGGCCUUUUCCGGGUCUUCUAGGGUGACCAAGUAACCACUGCUAUCAAGCUCCUCUUCAUCUUCAAAAUCGUUGCUGCCUAAGGCAGUCGCCAAAGGAGUAGCAAACUAACGAGUCCCUGAG
rnacentral:lncRNA from 1 species